rnacentral:rRNA from 1 species
GAUGAACGCUGGCGGCGUGCCUAACACAUGCAAGUCGAGCGAAGCACUCUACUCGAUUUCUUCGGGAUGAAGGUUUAGUGACUGAGCGGCGACGGGUGAGGUACGCGUGGGUAACCUGCCUCAUACAGGGGGAUAACAGUUAGAAAUGACUGCUAAUACCGCAUAACGUGAGAAGAGGGCAUCCUCUUUUUACCAAAGAUUUAUCGCUGAGAGAUGGGCUCGCGGCCGAUUAGGUAGUUGGUGAGAUAACAGCCCACCAAGCCGACGAUCGGUAGCCGGACUGAGAGGUUGAUCGGCCACAUUGGGACUGAGACACGGCCCAG